rnacentral:rRNA from 1 species
UACGGGGGGGGCAAGCGUUGUUCGGAAUUACUGGGCGUAAAGGGCUCGUAGGCGGCCAACUAAGUCAUACGUGAAAUCCCUCGGCUUAACCGGGGAACUGCGUCUGAUACUGGAUGGCUUGAGUUCGGGAGAGGGAUGCGGAAUUCCAGGUGUAGCGGUGAAAUGCGUAGAUAUCUGGAGGAACACCGGUGGCGAAAGCGGCUCACUGGAUCGAUACUGACGCUGAGGUGCGAAAGCUAGGGUAGCAAACGGG